CCUACGGGUGGCAGCAGUAGGGAAUAUUGCUCAAUGGGGGAAACCCUGAAGCAGCAACGCCGCGUGGAGGAUGAAGGUUUUCGGAUUGUAAACUCCUUUUGUUAGAGAAGAUAAUGACGGUAUCUAACGAAUAAGCACCGGCUAACUCCGUGCCAGCAGCCGCGGUAAUACGGAGGGUGCAAGCGUUAAUCGGAAUCACUGGGCGUAAAGAGCGGGUUGGCGGGGUAGCAAGUCAGAUGUGAAAUUCUAUGGCUUAACCAUAAAACUUCAUUUGAAACUGUUAUUCUAGAGGAAGGGAGAGGUAGGGGGAAUUCCUGGGGGAGGGGUAAAAUCCGUAGAGAUCAAGAGGAAUACUCAUUGCGAAGGCGACCUGCUAGAACAUAACUGACGCUGAUGCGCGAAAGCGUGGGGAGCAAACAGGAUUAGAUACCCUUGUAGUC
rnacentral:rRNA from 1 species